CGAAGGUGGCAAGCGUUACUCGGAAUUACUAGGCGUAAAGGGCAGGUAGGUGGUUUGGUUAGUCUGUUGUGAAAGCUCCUUGCUUAACGGGGAGAGGCCAACAGAUACUGCCAGGCUUGAGUAUAGGAGAGGGUACUGGAAUUCCCGGUGUAGCGGUGAAAUGCGCAGAGAUCGGGAGGAACACCAAUGGCGAAAGCAGGUACCUGGACUAUUACUGACACUCAGCUGCGAAAGCUAGGGGAGCAAACAGGAUUAGAUACCCUGGUAGUCCUAGCCGUAAACGAUGCACAUUAGGCGUGAGGGGUAUCGACCCCCUUCGUGCCGAAGCAAACGCAUUAAAUGUGCCGCCUGGGGAGUACGGCCGCAAGGUUG
rnacentral:rRNA from 1 species